GCAUGCAUGUGUAGGUUCCUAUGUGGACUGUUUACAUUUCUCUUUUGUUUACAUAUAGGUUCAUAUGUGGCACCUAUGUGACCAUUUGACAGACUGCUAGACUUUUUCCAAAGCAGCUACAUCAUUUUUCAUACUCUUCAGCAGCAUAGAUUAAUGCAAAUAUUUUUAAACACAUACUAUUAUCUCUUAAGAGUAAAGCUGUCAUACUGGCAUACUUUUUUGUGCUUCUUACAGAGAAGACCCAUCUUCCAACUGAGCCCUUGGGGCAUGAACUUCGUCCUACACUGUGGGAGGGAACUUACAGGUAUCGGCUGCUUUG
rnacentral:lncRNA from 1 species